rnacentral:rRNA from 1 species
UACGUAGGGUGCAAGCGUUGUCCGGAAUUAUUGGGCGUAAAGAGCUCGUAGGCGGUUUGUCGCGUCUGCUGUGAAAACCCGAGGCUCAACCUCGGGCCUGCAGUGGGUACGGGCAGACUGGAGUGCGGUAGGGGAGAAUGGAAUUCCUGGUGUAGCGGUGGAAUGCGCAGAUAUCAGGAGGAACACCGAUGGCGAAGGCAGUUCUCUGGGCCGUAACUGACGCUGAGGAGCGAAAGCGUGGGGAGCGAACAGG